GUUAUAUAACUUUGUUUUAGCUUUGAAUUUGAGACAAAACCUUUCUCUACCAUGGGCUCUACUACUUCUUUUUUUCCUUCUCUAUAUAUUUGUCAUAUAGAGAUUAUAUUUUCAAGCACUUCAUCUUACACUUAGAUUCUCAUAUGAAAAUGAUGAACCUGAAACCAUGGUUCUGGAUGUGCUUUGUAAUUGUGUUUCUCUUAUUAUCUUGUAGUGAAUCUCGUCCUCUUGGAACUUCAAUGAGUUUGAAGAGAAAUGAGGCAAAAGAUACACAUUUUGGAGACCAUGUUGCUAGUCUGAGGAGGUGGUUAUCAGGAAUACAAGAGAGCCCACGUUUGCCUGGAAGGCUUAGCCCAGAGGGCCCAGACCCAAGGCACCAUUGAUUGAGGACUGUAAGAAAUACACAGUGUGGUUUGGAAUUUUAAUUUAAGAGAGAAAAAAAGCAUUUUUCAUUUUAUAGUUAAGUUACUCCUUGUAUUCAACUUUAUGUGGGUAAGAGUACUUUUUGUCUGUUCAUUAAUAUAAAUUACUUUAGAAAAUAAUGGUGAUAAUUCGAUGUUUUUAAAUCUAAUAAAAAUAUAUGAAUUGAUUUGGAUUGAAUUUACACAUUGUAAUAAAGCGCAAACCGAAUCAAAGUGAAAAACAACAAAUUGAUUUAAGUUGGAUAGAUUGGAUAUAUAAAAAAAUAUGUAAAAA
rnacentral:lncRNA from 1 species